GACGAACGCUGGCGGCGUGCCUAAUACAUGCAAGUCGAGCGGACUUUCAAGAAGCUUGCUUUUUGAAAGUUAGCGGCGGACGGGUGAGUAACACGUGGGCAACCUGCCUGUAAGACGGGGAUAACUCCGGGAAACCGGGGCUAAUACCGGAUAAUAUCUUUCUUCGCAUGAAGGAAGGUUGAAAGGCGGCGCAAGCUGCCGCUUGCAGAUGGGCCCGCGGCGCAUUAGCUAGUUGGUGAGGUAACGGCUCACCAAGGCGACGAUGCGUAGCCGACCGGGGAGGGUGAUCGGCCACACUGGGAAUGAGACACGGCCCAGACUCCUACGGGAGGCAGCAGUAGGGAAUCUUCCGCAAUGGACGAAAGUCUGACGGAGCAACGCCGCGUGAGCGAAGAAGGUCUUCGGAUCGUAAAGCUCUGUUGUCAGGGAAGAACAAGUACCGUUCGAAUAGGGCGGUACCUUGACGGUACCUGACCAGAAAGCCACGGCUAACUACGUGUCAGCAGCCGCCGUAA
rnacentral:rRNA from 1 species